rnacentral:rRNA from 1 species
ACUCCUACGGGAGGCAGCAGUGGGGAAUCUUGGACAAUGGGCGCAAGCCUGAUCCAGCCAUGCCGCGUGAGUGAUGAAGGCCCUAGGGUCGUAAAGCUCUUUCGCCAGAGAUGAUAAUGACAGUAUCUGGUAAAGAAACCCGGCUAACUCCGUGCCAGCAGCCGCGGUAAUACGGAGGGGGUUAGCGUUGUUCGGAAUUACUGGGCGUAAAGCGCGCGUAGGCGGACUAGUCAGUUAGAGGUGAAAUCCCAGGGGCUCAACCCUGGAACUGCCUUUAAUACUGCUAGUCUUGAGUUCGAGAGAGGUGAGUGGAAUUCCGAGUGUAGAGGUGAAAUUCGUAGAUAUUCGGAGGAACACCAGUGGCGAAGGCGGCUCACUGGCUCGAUACUGACGCUGAGGUGCGAAAGUGUGGGGAGCAAACAGGAUUAGAUACCCUGGUAGCG